rnacentral:rRNA from 1 species
GAUGAACGCUGGCGGCGUGCCUAAUACAUGCAAGUCGAGCGAACAGACGAGGAGCUUGCUCCUCUGACGUUAGCGGCGGACGGGUGAGUAACACGUGGAUAACCUACCUAUAAGACUGGGAUAACUUCGGGAAACCGGAGCUAAUACCGGAUAAUAUAUUGAACCGCAUGAUUCAAUAGUGAAAGACGGUUUUGCUGUCACUUCUAGAUGGAUCCGCGCCGCAUUAGCUAGUUGGUAAGGUAACGGCUUACCAAGGCAACGAUGCGUAGCCGACCUGAGAGGGUGAUCAGCCACACUGGAACUGAGACACGGUCCAGACUCCUACGGGAGGCAGCAGUAGGGAAUAUUCCGCAAUGGGCGAAAGCCUGACGGAGCAACGCCGCGUGAGUGAUGAAGGUCUUCGGAUCGUAAAGCUCUGUUAUUAGGGAAGAACAAAUGUGUAAGUAACUAUGCACGUCUUGACGGUACCUAAUCAGAAAGCCACGGCUAACUACGUG